rnacentral:miRNA from 1 species
GGGGAAAUGACAGCAGGGAAGCCUAUCAGAUAGUUUGUUCGUUAUCCGUUCCUCAGCAGCACUUAGUCCCCCAUGUUUUCUAUCUGUCAUCCUGCAG